rnacentral:rRNA from 1 species
UACGUAGGGUCCAAGCGUUAUCCGGAAUCACUGGGCGUAAAGCGUGCGUAGGCGGUCUGUUAAGUGAGAUGUGAAAAGCGUGUGGCUCAACCAUAUCGUUGUGUUUCAUACUGGCAGACUAGAGGGAAGCAGAGGCAAGUGGAAUUGGCAGUGUAGCAGUGAAAUGCGUAGAGAUUGCCAGGAACACCAAUGGCGAAGGCAGCUUGCUGGGCUUCUUCUGACGCUGAGGUACGAAAGCGUGGGGAGCGAACAGGAUUAGAUACCCUUGUAGUCCAGCAUCCAAGAUGCCGUCUUGUCUGACCCGACAAUAACACCA